UACGUAGGUGGCGAGCGUUGUCCGGAUUUACUGGGCGUAAAGGGCGUGCAGGCGGUUUGUUAAGUGCAGGGUGAAAGCUCCCGGCUCAACUGGGAGAGGUCCUUGCAUACUGGCGAACUCGAGGGAGGCAGAGGAAAGUGGAAUUCCCGGUGUAGUGGUGAUAUGCGUAGAUAUCGGGAGGAACACCUGUGGCGAAGGCGGCUUUCUGGGCCUUACCUGACGCUGAGACACGAAAGCCAGGGGAGCAAACGGG
rnacentral:rRNA from 1 species